AUAUGUUUGAAAUCUA
rnacentral:sRNA from 1 species